AUUUUACGGUAGAUUGGUCGAAAAUGUUGAUCCAAACCUCCAAAAAAAUGUGUAGAAAAACAAAGAGGAAGAUUCAGACUAUCUUGUUGAUCACUCUAUAGUUUAGUAAGUAUACUAGUUAGUAUCCACUUAUAGAUAUGAUCUUAGCUAAAUGGAAUUUUUGUAUUGAUUGAAAAAAAGAGAAAAAAAAAAAGCAUUUCGAAUACAUUGUCAAUAUAAUUGAUUGAUGGCCUCAUAGGGAUAUGACAAAACAGAGAAUUUUUGAAAAAAAUUGUUGCCAAAAGAAGUUUUGAAGAAUAUAAAAAUGAGUGAUUG
rnacentral:lncRNA from 1 species